ACUGUGCUUCCUGAUCCCGGUAAAACUGGGUAGGCUUCCGUAAUAUGUCUUUUUCCUGCAAAAAUUCCAGAACAGAGUUUAAUAAGAAAACGAAUGUGGUAGAAGUUCGAGUCUGAAUAAAGUACCAACAACGUUUCAAACCCUAUAAAAACUCCGCAAUUUGGUUGGCAUCCUCCCCAGUUCUCUGUUUCUGCAUCUUUUUCUGCAACAAUGGCAGCUUACGGGGAAGAAGGGUAUGUGGCCUGAAUACUUGAUAGCCUGAUAAAGCCGUUAUGGAUUCGUUUUGGAUUGAAAUUCUUUGUAGCGAAAUCGAUUUGGAAUUGUAAUAAAUCUACCACGUGAUCUUGCUGCCGUAUUUUUAGGUGAUUAAUGGAUGAGUUAUAUGAUCAAUAGAUUUUUUAGUUGAUUAAUGGAUGAGUUAUAUGAUCAAGAGAUAUGGGUUUGCUUUAGAUUCGAGUUCUUCGCAGGGAAACCGAUCUGGAACUACUAAUCGAGCCAUUAAGAGAAAAAAAAAAUGAGUAUCAAGCCUAAUUCUCACAUCUAUAGCCAAACAAGCCUCCUGCAUCUUUCCUAGAAAAAUGCCAACAAGGUGAAAUUUGAGAGCGUAGUCAUUCGUGUGGUUCAUGGUAUGCAAGCCUAUAAUAUAAUCUCUUUAAGAUGUCUCUUAUAUCUCGCUGAAAAUUGCAUUAAGAUACACAGAUUUGAUGUAUCUUUAAAUACAAUUGAGAUGGAUUAUCAGUUAUUGGUUGCCAACUACUUUGCUUAUUAUGUUGGAAGUUGUACGGGAUGAUCUUCGAGUAAUCAACUAUCUUAAUAAACUCCAGGUAUCUCCAACUUUUCUAAGAUGCGUACUUUACUUUAUUUGUUUUUAAGUUCUAUGGAAAUUUGCAGCCGGGUACAUCUGUUGCAGCAUGUUUUCGUGGUUCUCAGUGACAAUAAACCAGUAUGCAAUUUUAAGAGAGUGUUUGGAUCCAAUAAAAGGUACAUUUUCUUACUUCCUCAUUCUAAGAUUUUGUACUGAUUGGUCCAGUUUGAUUGUAAGGCAUCAUAUAAGUCUUCACACUAAAUGUCCAGCUGAUGACUGAUUUUUUUGACACAAUGACUCAUAUAAUUUCUCACAUCUGAAUGGUUUUAGCAUGUCGGGUUACCAUAGUGGAGCAUCACUCAUAUAACAAAUCAAAUGUUUCAGUCUUGGGUGUCGUUUUUCUCUCUAAUCCAGAGGUAAAAAAAACCAAAGCAGCAUCAAGAGAUUGGAAAUCAUUAUAGCUAUCAGAGAAAUGCAAGAAAAGGACCUUAAAACUACCAACCUUUACUGCAGAUGGUUGUAGAUACCAUGAGGAUGCUUCCAAUCAAAGUUACUGCAAAAAAAAUGAAGAUUUUGGGUUAAGAACGUAAGCACUAAAUUAUGGAGUUCUUUAUAAAGAUUGGUGCGUAUCAAUGAAGAAAUUUAAUGAAAAUCGUCAAGAACAACCGGAAAUGAGGAUAUAAUCAUCAAAUCCUGAUGGGAAAGGUUAGUUGUCGUGUGUUUGCUGCUGCGCGCACAAGCUAAAUUUCAUGUGUAAUUGCUGGAUAUACAAGCUAAAUUGCAUGAUAUCGUUGACUGUGUCAAGUACUUACAACUUCAUAUUAAGGAAAACUAUAUGUAGAACAAACUUGUGAGACUUGCAUGCGUCUUUCUUCAGGUCCUCAUUCGGUAUAAUAUAAUUAAUGGUUUCAGAUAACUUCAUAAAAGCUAAUUGCUUAAAUGGUCUCGCUGGAAUUGGAAUUGACGCUGAAUACACAAAUCAUACGCAUGUGUAACUAUCAAUUACACUAGAUAGAUGCAUAUGUAACUCUCAAUUACACUAGACAGAUGCGUGUGUAACUUCUAGUUACACAUGCUAAGAAAUUAUUAUAAAUGAAUA